GUUCAUUUUCUCUAGAUUUACUUGUUUGACAGUUAAUAGUUGUCACAAUGCAUCUGGUAAUCCUUUGUAUUUCUGUGGUAUCACUUGUAAUGUCUUUUUUAUUUGUUUUUAAUUUAUUUAUUAUUAUUCAUUUAUCUUUAUUUAUUUACUGUUUAUUUUGUGUUUGAGUAUUCUUGAUUGGCUUACUUGCAAUUUACUAAUUGUGUUUGUAUUUUCAAAGAAAUAGGUUUUAUUUUGAUCUUUAAAAAAAUUUUAGUUGCUAUUUGAUUUAGUUCUUCUGCCUUUAUUUCCAUUAUUUAUUUUCUUCAGCUAUUUUUGGGUUUGUCAUGUUAUUUCUUUUCCAGUUUCAUGAUCUGUGUUAUAAGACUGUUAAUUGGUAAUCAUUCUUCCUUUUCAAUGUAGGCAUUAAAUAUGUUAAACUUCCUGCUUAGCAGUUUUGCUGUAUUCCACAAGUUUUGGUACAUUGUGUUUUCCUUUUUGUUUGAGAAAAUGUUUUUAUUUUCAUCUUAAUUUUUUACAGAGUCAGUGAUCAUUUCACAUCAUGUUUUUCAAUUUUUAUUUAUUUGUGUAAUUUCCAAAAAUUAUCUUACUAUUGAUUACUAGUUUUAUUCCAUAUUUAGUUAACAAUAUAAUAAUUUCAGUUUAUUUGAAUCCCUAAAAUUUGCUUUGUGUUCUAUUCUUGAGAAUGUUGCAUAUGCUGAGAAGAAUGUGUAUUCUACAGAUGCUGGAGGAAAUGUUCUGCAAAUAUCUAUUACAUUUAUUUGCCCUAUUGUAUAAAGUAAUGAUUGUGAUUCUUUUUAAAUUUUUAUUCUAGAUUAUCUGCCUUCUAGAUAAUGAAAUUGUAAAAGUCUGUUUUGUGAUAAAAAUGUCUUGAAGCCUUCAGCUGAUCUUUAGGAUUUUACUCUAUUGUUUAAAAUGUAUAAAUUUAAGUGUACAAUGCAAUUUUAUUACAUGAUCAUAUUGUGUAGUGAUAAAGUCAUGGUUUUAGUGUAUUAAUCAUCUGAAUAAUGUACAUUGUACUCAUUAAGUAUGUCUCAUCAACCAAGCUCUUUCCAUCCUUCCACAUUUCUGACUCUCCAAUGUGUAUCAUUCUAUACUUUAUGCCCAUGCUUACAAUAUUGUGAAUAUACAGUAUUUGACUUUAUGUUUCCAAGUUUGUUUGUUUUAGAUCAUGGCCUCCAGUUUUAUACAUGUCAAUAGAGAGGACAUGACUUUAUUCUUUUCUAUAAUGAAAUUGUAUUUUAUUAUGUUUAUGUAGCAUAUUUGUUUAAUCUAAUUAUAUGGUGAUAAUCAGUUUAGGUAAUUCUAUUGUUUUACUACUGUGAAUAAUGCUGCAAUACUUAUAUGAUAUGUAUUUUAUAUAAUGAUUUUAAUAUCUUUGAUAGAUACCCAGUAGUGGGAUUGCUGGAACAAGUGGUACUUACAGUUUUAGUUCUUUGAUAAAUAACCAUUCUGUUUUUCAUAGAGCUUAUACUAAUCUAUAUUCCCACCAACAGUAUUAAGCAUUCUUUCUUAGCAUCCUCAUCAUCUGUUUUUCUUUUUAUGUAAUAGCCAUUUUGAGUGGUGUAAUAUGAUAUCUAUCUUACGGUGGUUUUAGUUUGCAUUUCUUUGAUCAUUAGUGAUGUUGAACAUUGGCUUAUAUGCAUGCUGGCCUUUGGAUGUCUUCUUUUGAUAAAUGACUAUUCAUAUUAUUAAUAGCUUUUAUUAUCCUUUCAAAACUUAAAUUUUGGUUUUCACAAACACAUGAAGGUUUCUUACACAGUUAAACUCAGGUCAUAGGGAUGAGUUGUAAAGAUUAUUUCAUCACCUGGAAAUUAAGCCCAAUACCCAAUAGUUAUCUUUUCUGCUUGUCUCCCUUUUUCUUCCCACCAUCCUCAAGUAGACCCCACUGUCUGUUAUUUCCUUCUUUGUUUUAACAAGUAUUACUUAGCCCUAACCUUUGAUGAAAACUAUUGGUUUUCUCUUCCAGCAUUAGCUUACUCAGAUUAAUACCCUCCAUCUCCAUCCAUGUGCCUGCAAAAAAAAAACAUAAUCUUGCUUUUUUAUAUGUAUAUUGGCAUAGUAUUCCAUGGUAUAUAUAUGCCAUAUUGCUUUAUUCUAUCAUUAAUGAACAUUUAUAUUAAUAUCAUGUCUUUGCUAUUGUAAAUACUGCUGCUAUGAAUAUUCAUGUGUAUGUCUCUGUGUGGUAGGAUGAUUUAUGUAUCAUCCUUUGGUACACACUUAGUCAUAAAAUUGCUUAGCCAAAUGGUAGUUCUGCUUUUAGCCUUUUGCAGAAUCACAAUACUGCUUUCCACAAUGCUUGAACUAAUUUAUGCACCCACAAACAGUGUAUAUAUGUUUCCCUUUCUCUGCAGUCUUGCCAGCAUCUGUUACUAUUUCACUUUUUAGUAAUAGCUUUUCUGACAGCUGUGAGAUUGUAUCUUAUUGUGGUUUUGAUUUGCAUUUAUCUAAUCAUCACUGAUAUUGAGCUUUUUUUAUACAUGAUUAUUGGCAGCAUGUAUGUCUUCUUUUAAAAAAAAUCUGUUCAUGUCCUUUUCCCAUUUUUAAUGGGGUUUUCUAUUGGAAUUGUGUUAAAGUUCUUUAUAGAUGUUGGGUAUUAGACUUUUUCAGAUGCAUAGUUUGCAAAAUUUUUCAGAUUUUUGUCAGAUGCACAGGUUGCAAAAUUUUCUCCCAUUCUGUAGGUUGUCUGUGUACUCUGUUGAUAGUUUCUUUUGCUGUACAAAGUAACAUUUUAAUGGUUUUAUUUGUUUUUCCUGUUGCUUGAGUUUAUUAUAUAUUCUAGAUAUCAGUGUAUUUCUUUUGUUUCUACCCUGACCUUUGUAAUUUAUAAUUUUCUACACAUUGUGAGUAGUUUCAUUUUGUUUUCCUAAAACUCUGAGUUGUCUUAUUUGACUUUUUAGAGCUUUUUACUUUUAAGUGUUGGAAUUUGUUGCUAUCAACUUUUCUAUUUUAGCGAUAUUUGAUUUUUCUUUUUAAUUUUAUAUAUUGUGUUUACUUUUUUAUUUGUCUCAACAUUUAAACAUUUUUAUUUUUACUUUUUUUGGUUCAUUGAUUUUUCAGGAGCAUGCUAUUUAAUUUUUACAUAUCUGUAAAUU
rnacentral:lncRNA from 1 species